UUUCCAUGGCAACUCCCUCUUGUACACAUUCUGUUUGCUCGUGUAGAAAAAGUACUUCAUUGAUGUAGUGGUGCAUCUUCUCAUUGGUCAUGUUGACACAAAGCUAUUGGAGGGGAGAAAGAAAACAAUUAUGGCCAUGCAAAUCCACUCGUUCUGGGACGAUUUCAGAAUAAAUAAUGUUGCGCCCUAAGAGAAAUGCAAGCAAAUAUACUCAUGGAUGGGCAGCAGUUUAGAAGAUGUAGGAUGAAAAUACACAAUCAAGUCUAGCUUCAGAGAACCUGUGGCUCUGGGGACAGUUCUGAAUUCAGAGCUUCAUGCUGUGUCCUUCUAUUUUUUUCCAAUCUGUUGACCCAUGUGUGCCUCCAUCCUCCCUGGUGACUUAUGCACACCAGGAGAUGCCGGGAUGAUGCUCACUCAGUGGUAACAGCAUUGAGGGUGUAAGCAACUUUUAGGAAUCUGGUGAAGAACUCUAUGUGGACAACAAAGAAAUUCUCAAAAGGCUUCAUUCAAAGAUAGGCAUACAUGUGAAGACUUCUGGAUGCAAUUCUGCUCUCAACGGCCUGCUCAAAGUCAGUGUUACUGACAAGAAUACUAACAAAGUUUUCCAUUAACGAGAUGACAUUGUAGGUCUAUGAUUUUUAGAUCAUCAAAUAGUCCUGAAAAGCUCCUGCUUUAAAGGUGGUUAAGGCUAUGACUCAAAAUGAUUACCAUAGAGACCUCCUGUCAAAUAAUCUGCAAAUAAGUGAACAAAAUAGGAAGACUUACUAAUCGGAAACAUAACAUUCGAUUGGUCCUAAGAGAGAAAUGGGCUCCUCAAAAAAGUGUCGCGUUGGAUUAUAGAGCACCUGUAAGAGGUGCUUUUAAGUCGGCUACAACAAGAAUAACAGAGCAGACCCGUGUCUGCCAAUCCUACCUGCUGUGCUCAUCUUGACUGUGGAGGCAACAAUUCAUGGUAUUCACCAAAAAGCUAAACAAACGACUGAACAUGGACUUGGCCAAGAGGUCCCGGUAAAAUUCUGCCAUCUCCACAGUGUGUCGCCGUAUGAUGGUAUCUCCUGGAAGGGCAGAAAGGCUAAGAGGUGGCCCUGAAUGUUUCUCCCAGUCCCUGGUUCAAUUACUUUGAUACAAGGUGAAGACAUGAUGCUCACUGACAAUCUGUGGUUUGAAGGUAUUUUAAGGAAAAGAGAAAGAAAUGGAUGUUGGCAAGAGCUAUCUUUGAGCAGAAGGGAGAAGGAAGUAAGAGUGUCUGCUGAAAGAAAAGAUCUGAGAAUCUGGAGCUCUGCAUAAAGAAAGAAACUAGACCUUAAAUUUGGUUUAUGGGCAGUCAUUUUGUGGUGACAGUGAAAAAUCAAGGAAAAGCUGUAGGCUGAAAAAUAAACCUCUCUGGAACAAAUACUUAGUAUAAUGAUAUCAAUAGUACACUGGUUAAGUUCCAUGUUGGGCAAAGGACAUAUCUUUUAAAUUCUCAUUUUCCUAAUAUGCAGUUUUAAAAUUAAAAGCUGUCGUCUGUGAAAAUCUACUAAGAACAACUCGCAUUUGCUUUACAAGUAUACAAGUAGAAUAAUGUAGCCCUUAGGACCUCCAUGAAUUUCUUCCAGAACUUCUAGUUCUCACCACAGAAUAUAAUUCUAUCAUCUUUAAGAUGAGAAUACUGACAAGGAUGGUCUGUAAGUAAUUUUCAGGUAUAAUACCCUAGGACUGUGGCAUUACUUAAAAGUGGUUUCGGUGACUUGCAAAUCACAGGCUAUGGUUUCAAACUUCAUUCAAUCAUGCUGGCUUGAAUAACAUUUCACUCCUCACACUACCUGACAACUGCUUUCCCCCUGUUUAAUAUUUUUAAUAAAUCCCGUAACUCCUCAGUAUAUUUUCAUGGUUCCCUGUGAAGUAGGCACUCUAGAGAUACACGGUCAGGAAGGCUUUGUUCUGACCUCAAGAGUCUCGGAGUUUAGCAGUGGAGACAGAGCAUGACAACUAGCCACACUAGGAAGCAUUGUGAGCAGAGGACAGGGCUGACGUCCUGUGUCCACAGACAGUGGGUGGCAUUUCCCUGCCGUCCUGCUGGCCCACGACAUGGUGCUGAUGGAGGACGCAGGUGAAGGCAUCUUUAUGAACAAGUCUUGUUCAAUUUUCUUGCCAGCCCAGAAAUAUCUCCCUUCUGGUCCUACCGGACAUGAUCUAUCCCUCCGAAGUGCACUAAAAUGUCACCAUUCUGAUCACCCUAAAGGAUCACAGUGAAAUGGUGUCCUUCGUGUCUUUUGUUAAAAUGCACAUAUGUCUUUUACCAAAAAGGUUGUCAGAUUCUCUACUGGGUACCUUAGGCGAAAAAGUAUAUUCUGGUUGCCCUUGCUUCUGAGAAUCAAUCAUGGAUUUUUAAAACCCUGUUUCCAAGCAACGAGUACUUUGGUAGAAUGGUUCCGUACCCACUUCUAUAUCCCAGUUUCCUAUAAGGAAGCAGAAAUUUUAGGCACAGAAGAAGGGAAAAUUUUUUUUUAAAAAAGUACAACAGUAGUGAAUGCCAGGGCAGAAAAGUGCAAAUGGGUAGGAGUUACUAAAAGACAGAAAUACAGAGAUUGGAUAACUGGAGAGAGAGAAAAAGAAAAACGCAGAUACCAUAUGAUUGUAUGUUCCUAGAUUCCCAAGUUCUGAAUAGGACGGGGGUGAAGUGCCCAGAGCUGUUUCAUUUAGGGCGAAUCCCCAUCUCCCCACCCCUUCCCACAGCUCCCUGCCCU